GCAGACAGCUAUGGGUCGUACAGGUGUAAAGCAGAAAAUUUACUUGGUUAUGAUGAACACAUCAUCAAUGUCACCCAGACAGCUCUUCCUACUUCUCCGGUACCAUCGGAAAGUACACGCCAUGUACAAAGCUCGAUAGCAAUAGUUAACCGAGUAUCUACGUCUAAGUCGGUAGACAUAAGUUCAAUAAGCUCAACCAAUUUAGUAGUUUCAACACCAAAGGAACAACAAGGUAAAAGCUUAAUCAAAUAUAAUUUCCCUUCAGGUGCAAAUGAUA